AACGAACGCUGGCGGCAUGCCUAACACAUGCAAGUCGAACGAGACCUUCGGGUCUAGUGGCGCACGGGUGCGUAACGCGUGGGAACCUGCCCUUAGGUUCGGAAUAACUCCCCGAAAGGGGUGCUAAUACCGGAUAAUGUCUUCGGACCAAAGAUUUAUCGCCUUUGGAUGGGCCCGCGUUGGAUUAGCUAGUUGGUAGGGUAAAAGCCUACCAAGGCGACGAUCCAUAGCUGGUCUGAGAGGAUGAUCAGCCACACUGGGACUGAGACACGGCCCAGACUCCUACGGGAGGCAGCAGUGGGGAAUAUUGGACAAUGGGCGAAAGCAUGAUCCAGCAAUGACGCGUGAGUGAUGAAGGCCGUAGGGUUGUAAAGCUAUUUUACCCGGGAUGAUAAUGACAGUACAGGGAGAAUAAGCUCCGGCUAACUCCGUG
rnacentral:rRNA from 1 species